ACAAAUCUGAAGACGAGAAAGAGUAAAAUAUUGUACUGUUCCCCAGAGAGUCGGCGUUAUGCUGAAAGCCGAUGUACAGACUUUAUUUGAAAAUCAUCUCCGAGGAUCCGUGGCUGAAUAAAGUAAGCUCGGACGGAUGUCUACCGUUACAAAGAUCGCGUAUGUUAGUACGUUGCUAAGUGCUAUUGGUGAAGAUGCUAAUAGAAUUAGGGUGGUAACGCGGGUAAACCCGUCCCUAUU
rfam:Bacillus cereus Rock3-44 chromosome, whole genome shotgun sequence.